GGACUUACUUGCUAAAACUAAAACAUUGAGGACCUAGUUCCCAUAUUUUUUUUCCUUGGGGACCUAAAGUACAUUUAGGAAGAUCCAGGAGUCUUUACCCUCGAAAGAAAGUAGGAAAAGGAUGUAUGUAGUAGUAUAAGCUCGUGCUUUGGGUCAACAAUAAAAAGGGUAAAAGGAAGAAGAAAAAAAGGUGAACUUCCGCAAGUGGAGUCCCUCCAUUAUGGUGGAAAGUUUAAUAAACCUGCUUACAUUCCAUGGAAUCAAGAAUCUAGGAUUGGGUUGAUUUUAUUUGAGCAGUAAGAAUGGAGAAAGAUCCGAAAUUAUUCUGGGUUUCGAAAAUCAAAGAAGCAUUAUAACAUUCCAGGUGUACUCGAUCCUCUCCUUAAUUUCUCUUGUUAUUCCUUUUACCAAAUGUUUGCACAUUGAUGCAGAAUUUACACCGGAUAGAAUUGUUAGAUGUGUCUCUUUUCUUGGUCUAGAUUGAUAAUGUGGAAUGUCUCGUGAAUUUUAUCAUCUGGGUGCUUGCCAACCAAUUAAUUCUUUUGCCUAAGGGUUUUGUUUUUGUUUUUCUUUAGGAUAAAUGUAAUAUUAUUAUUAUUUGGGAAGGGAAGAAAUGCAUGCAUGGUUAGUAUGUGAAGUGGAUGGAAUUCAUGUCAAAUCAGUUUCUUAUUACCUCACUUAAGUUUAAGUAAACAAUGGACGAAUAAGUUAAAAGAAUCUUCAAAAAUCCAAAUUGAAACCUGUUCGUGGCAUUCUAUUAUUUGUUAACCCUACAAGUGCUUGAAUUUUCAAUUGCUCGUUUGAUGUUCGAAUUGACAGUAUGUUAUAGGAUUUGUAAUGAAUAUAAUUAUAUAAUUGUUCUAAUUUAUAAAUUUAUGGACAAACAAAAAGCUUAUGGCGUGCAAUCUAUACUCAAUAUAGGACUUUUCGUGAGGCUGUGCAGAUUGCUAAAAUGCAAUCCAAUAGAGGAAAAGUGGUUGAAAAAUGGACAAAUAUAAUCUUGUUAGAAUUCAGCGCCACCUUUGGAGUUGGGACAAGCUAUAGCUUAAUUAUCACUUUUAUUACUUAUUUCCAAAUCACUAAUACUCUGCUUGAUCUUAUUGACCACUAGUAGUAAAAGGAAAGGCUUCCCGAACUGCCUUACCAUCCCAUACUAAUAUGAUGUGCACUAAGUCGCAAGCUUGAUUCAUAACUCUUUUUAUCAUCCUGCCAUAAUUCACAGUUUUUCUGUUUGGACUUUGUGGCCUUCUCAUGUUGUUUCGGAAAUCAAAGAUACCACAUCUAAAUCACUGAGGAAAGCUAUAAUCACAUCAUAUUGCUCCUAAAUCUCCGAGGUGAGCUCUAAUCACAUCAUAUUGCUUCUAAAGCGCUGAGCUGAACUCUUUCAUCCACAUGCUAUUUCUUGUUCACCUAGUAAACAUUCUGAAUUGUCAUCUAAAGAUGGUUCCAUUAUUAUAAGUUAUUUCCAUAAAAGAAUUUCGGUUGGCCAAUUCUAGGAUGACUGCUUUGCCUUGUUGGGGUCUAGUUUUUGCAGUAUCCAGGUUGUAACUAGUACCGCAUGAGGCCAUUGCCUGCCUCCCCUCUAAGCAACAGCUAUCAGAAAGACCACAGUUUUCUAGUUCUAGGUCUGCCUUUUCAGUAAAUCAUGACACACAAAUAAGCCUUAUCUGGACAGCUAUCCUAUCCCUUGUUUAUUUUUUCCAAAGUCAUGUUAAACUAUUAUUGUUAUUUCUCCCUCCAUUCCACGUUUUAGGAUAAUUCUUUUGUUCCUAAAUAUAUGACGUUCUAGGAUUUCUAGAAGAAUUGGUUACAUUACUUCCGUAAUUACCCCUAAACAUUUAAUACUCUCUUUAAUUCUCUCCUAUUUUUCCAAAGCUACUUUUUCUCUCUUUUUUAAUAUCUUACCCAUGUACUCUCCUUAAUUCCUAUAUUUUCUCUAUCCUCAAACAAUAUAUUUCUCUCAUCUUUAUCACCUACAAUUUAGCUUUUCAUUUAUCUAUGCAAAGGUGUUUUUGGUAAUACAUGGUACAUAGUAAUUUUAAUGGAGUAAUUUUAGGAGUUUUAACUUUCUUAAUCUCUGUACAAAAACCUUAAACAUCACAUAUUUAGGAAUGGAGGGAGUAUUAUUUAAAAUACUAAUUCUGAGAAGGAGAAAAAGAACAAUUGGUAAAUAUAGGCAAAAGAUCUUUAGCAAUCUUAUCUCGAAAGUCUUGCAUUCUUCUGUAUUAGCUACAAAUUGAGCAAAGAAGCGUGGCAGAAAUCUAGUUGUGUGUUCUUUGCCUAUAUGAUUACACUUAAAUGUAAACAUUAGCCAAUAACUUGAAUAUUAAAAUUUGGGUAGCUAAACUUGUUAAUCUUCUCAAAUUGGUGAUUAAAUUUGAUCUUUAAGCUGACACUCGUAUUCCUUUUUUGAGGAUAUUGUUUCUAUGUUGAUGGUUUCUCAUAAUCAAUAUUCCCUCCGUUUCAAAAUUAGAGAUACAAUUUGACCUUUGAGGUCAAACGACGGCAUAUUAAACUUUAAAUUGAUG
rnacentral:lncRNA from 1 species